ACGCUCGACACCUACGUGAGGCAGCAGUUGGGAAUAUUGGACAAUGGAGGAAACUCUGAUCCAGUGACGCCGCGUGAAGGAAGAAGGUCUUCGGAUUGUAAACUUAUUUUGUCAGGGAAGAAAAAAUGACUGUACCUGAAGAAAAAGCACCGGCUAACUACGUGCCAGCAGCCGCGGUAAUCUGAGCGGGCUGGCAAGGC
rnacentral:rRNA from 1 species